rnacentral:rRNA from 1 species
GAUCAUGGCUCAGAUUGAACGCUGGCGGCAGGCCUAACACAUGCAAGUCGAACGGUAACAGGAAGCAGCUUGCUGCUUUGCUGACGAGUGGCGGACGGGUGAGUAAUGUCUGGGAAACUGCCUGAUGGAGGGGGGAUAACUACUGGAAACGGUAGCUAAUACCGCAUAACGUCGCAAGACCAAAGAGGGGGACCUUCGGCCGUCUUGCCACUCGGAGUGUGCCCACGAUGGGAGUUAGCUUGG